CCUACGUGUGGCAGCAGUGGGGAAUAUUGCACAAUGGGGGAAACCCUGAUGCAGCGACGCCGCGUGAGUGAAGAAGUAAUUCGUUAUGUAAAGCUCUAUCAGCAGGGAAGAAACAGACGGUACCUGAGUAAGAAGCCCCGGCUAACUACGUGCCAGCAGCCGCGGUAAUACGUAGGGGGCAAGCGUUAUCCGGAUUUACUGGGUGUAAAGGGAGCGUAGACGGCGAAGAAAGUCUGAAGUGAAAGCCCGCGGCUUAACCGCGGAACUGCUUUGGAAACUUUUUUGCUGGAGUACCGGAGAGGUAAGCGGAAUUCCUAGUGUAGCGGUGAAAUGCAUAGAUAUCGCGCAGAACCCCGAUUGCGAAGGCAGCGUGCCGUGCCGCCACUGACGCUGAGGCACGAAAGCGCGGGGAUCGAACAGGAUUAGAUACCCUUGUAGUC
rnacentral:rRNA from 1 species